rnacentral:rRNA from 1 species
UACGUAGGGGGCAAGCGUUGUCCGGAAUCAUUGGGCGUAAAGAGCGUGUAGGCGGCCCGAUAAGUCCGCCGUGAAAGUCCAGGGCUCAACCCUGGGAUGCCGGUGGAUACUGUCGGGCUAGAGUGCGGAAGAGGCGAGUGGAAUUCCCGGUGUAGCGGUGAAAUGCGCAGAUAUCGGGAGGAACACCAAUUGCGAAGGCAGCUCGCUGGGACGUAACUGACGCUGAGACGCGAAAGCGUGGGGAGCAAACAGG